rnacentral:rRNA from 1 species
UACGUAGGGGGCAAGCGUUGUCCGGAAUCAUUGGGCGUAAAGAGCUCGUAGGCGGCUCUGUUGCGUCCGCUGUGAAAAGCUCGGGGCCUUGAACCCCGAGCCUGCAGUGGAUACGGGCAGACUAGAGGUAGGUAGGGGAGAAUGGAAUUCCCGGUGUAGCGGUAGAAAUGCGCAGAUAUCAGGAGGAACACCGGUGGCGAAGGCGGAUCUCUGGGCCAUUACUGACGCUGAGGAGCGAAAGACGUGGGGAGCGAACAGG